AACGUAGGUGGCGAGCGUUAUCCGGAUUCACUGGGCGUAAAGCGCCUGCAGGCGGCGCUGCAAGUGGGACGUGAAAUCGCCCGGCUCAACCGGGCGGGGCCGUUCCAUACUGCAGGGCUGGAGGGCAGAAGAGGGAAGCGGAAUUCCCGGUGUAGUGGUGAAAUGCGUAGAUAUCGGGAGGAACACCAGUGGCGAAGGCGGCUUCCUGGUCUGCGCCUGACGCUGAGAGGCGAAAGCUAGGGGAG
rnacentral:rRNA from 1 species